GAUGAACGCUGGCGGCGUGCCUAAUACAUGCAAGUCGAGCGAACAGACGAGGAGCUUGCUCCUCUGACGUUAGCAGCGGACGGGUGAGUAACACGUGGAUAACCUACCUAUAAGACUGGGAUAACUUCGGGAAACCGGAGCUAAUACCGGAUAAUAUAUUGAACCGCAUGGUUCAAUAGUGAAAGACGGUUUUGCUGUCACUUAUAGAUGGAUCCGCGCCGCAUUAGCUAGUUGGUAAGGUAACGGCUUACCAAGGCAACCAUGCGUAGCCGACCUGAGAGGGUGAUCGGCCACACUGGAACUGAGACACGGUCCAGACUCCUACGGGAGGCAGCAGUAGGGAAUCUUCCGCAAUGGGCGAAAGCCUGACGGAGCAACGCCGCGUGAGUGAUGAAGGUCUUCGGAUCGUAAAACUCUGUUAUUAGGGAAGAACAAAUGUGUAAGUAACUAUGCACGUCUUGACGGUACCUAAUCAGAAAGCCACGGCUAACUACGUG
rnacentral:rRNA from 1 species